GCUGCAGGGUAAUUGAUAGAGAGUAGAAAUUCAGUAGAGAAUUUUGAUAAAGAACAGAAAUUCAACGAAGAGCAGAAAAUUGAUACAGAGCAGAAAUUCCCACCGUCCUGGAGGUUGGGAAGUCCAGAAUGAAGGCUCCUGCAGGUUCAGCUAUCUGUAUAAGUCAGAAGUGCCUCUCAAAGACUCAAUUGGAGGAAAGGAGCUGGUUAAGAUGAAGAUCUGAAUCUGGUCAAGGUGGUGCAUGCUUAUAAUCUCAGCUACUCAGGUGGCUGAGGCAGGAGGAUUUCAAAUUUCAGAAAAUGAAGAGCACUGAAUUCUAACUCAGCUAAGCAAGUCUGAAGCCACUGAAGAAGUAUGACUGUUAAUGAUGAUAUGUCAACCUCAUUGGAUUAAGAAAUGCCCUGCAGUGUAGUAAGCACACUUUUGCAUGUAUCUGGGUAGAUCCUGGAGGUGUGGUGUUGGUUUCUAUAUAUAUGGCCCUCUUCCUCUCUGGCAUUGUUUCCUUGCUCUGCUUCCUGGCCUCCAGGAGCUGAGUGUCUUUGCUCUGGCAUAUCCUUCUACCAUAAUGUUUUUGCUUUGCAGCCAGCUGACCAUGGACUGACUCCUCUGGAAUCAUGAGCCAAAACAACCUCACCUCUUUAAGUUGUGAAUAUUGAGUAUUUUGUCAGCAGUGAAAAAGUUGGCUAAUACAAGAAGCAUAUAGAAACCUUGUGGAUGUCUAGCUAUGGCAUGGGGAAUCAAUCCAAGAUAGAUCUUUAUCUUUGCACCAAAACAGAGAUACUGGAGAAAAUAUUCAAAGAAAAAGAAGAAAAGCAAAAAUACAUGAAUUUGGCAGAAAGAAAUGCAUGUCUAAAAAAAGAUGAACAUUUUCAGGUGUCAACAAGAGACCUUAAAACCUGCCCAGAGAUUGGAGUGCUGUAGCUGCAGAGGCCCAGGGGCACUGGAUGUGGACCACUGAAGUUGGGCUGGGAAGAUGAGCUGGAGCAAAGACCCCUGGCACCCUGAAUCUGUCCCUCAGAGAAAGGAAUGAGGGAGUUUUUGGAGCUGGAGGAGAUGUUCUCUGGGAGCAGUGUUUAAGUUGGUCUCAUUCAUUCAAACAAUUCUGGAGCAUUUAUUAUAGUGCCAGGCAUGGCAGCAACAGUGGAGAAGCAACAGUGGAGAAUAAGUUACACCCAGUGACUGCCCUGGUGUACUUCACAGUCAACUGAAACAGACACUAAGCAACCAAUUAUAAUGUACCCACUGUGAGGAAGAACAUCAUGGUGAAGAAUGUGUGGUUAAGAAGCAAAGAUGCUUACUUCAUGGUAGCUGGGAAAAAAAAAGAAGGAGAAAGGGAGACAACCCCUCAAGGGCACGCCACCAAUGACUUAGCUUCCUUCCACUAGACCCUAACUCCUAAAGGUUCUGCAGUGAUUCUUUUCCAGGUGGUUGUUGUCCUGAACAAAAAAUUGGUCAAGACAUGUGCCAAAGGCUGACAUCGGAUCAAGGCCAUCUAUCAAAAACCUGCUUGAUCUCGCCGCACCAGAGCUGAAAAGAGCAUCUUCUGAGUAGUCCCAGGAGCAGGGCUUGAGCACAUGUGUCCUGGAUCUCUGAUUGACAGGUCACUCCCACUUUCCCAGUCAGCUGGCCUUGCCCUAAUCUCCUGCCUCUGUUCCACUACUUCCCAGUAACACUAUGGGCCGAUGACCAAGCCUUUAGCACAUGGGCCUUUGAGGGUACAUUUAAGAUCCAAACCAUAGCAUAAUUUUUAUUAGUGAUUCAUGAAUCAGGCAGCAUCUUAUCUAAAGAUUUAGAUAAGCCUGGACAGUUGGGGUUUUUUUGUUUUGUUUUGUUUUUUUGUACCGGGGAUGAACUUGAGACCUUGAGCUUGGGACCUUGAGCUUUCGAGGCAGGCACAGCACCACUGAGCUAAAUCCCCAGCCCUUUUUCUCAUGGUUUUGUUUUUUUUUUUUUGGUACCAGGAAUCAAACUCAGGACCUUGUGCUUGCCAGGGAGGUGUGAUGCCACUGAGCUAAAUCCCGGUCCUCUCUGCUGAUUUCUUAGGUCAGAUAAACAGCUAGUUUGUGUUUCAUGCCAUAGAAGUUUAGCAUGAGAGAUAUCAUUUUGAUUUGGUCUCUUGGGGCCAGGUGCAGGAACUGAGCCCAUAACAAUGACCUAUUAUACAUUUUAUUUAACAGAUAAAAGGUAGUCAUGUUCUGUUUUCCAGUGGUGGAAAAUGGAGAUAUGAAAUGGAAGAACUACUGGAGGCCACUUUUCCUUCUGAAUGCAAAGAGAAAAGCUGGUCAGAGAGAACAAAAUCAAUACUUUCAGUGUUAGAAAAUGAGAGACCGCCAGAACAAGAGCGAGAGUGAAAGAGAGAGAAAAUGAGAUAAGGAGAGAGGAGAAACCUGGUGAGCAGGAUUUGUGUCACCAGUCCUGACUGCAGAAGGGGGUGGUGGGUGAGGCUUCUAGGGAAAGAGAGAGCUGAGAUGUGAAUAAGUCACAGAGUUUGUGUGAAAACUCCCAGGUGAAAGGAAAUGGAAUGUGUAUGAGGAAUUUAAAGAAUUCUGUUUUGCUAUUUAGCAAAAAACAACAUUAAAGAGGGGAAAAGCAAGCCAGAGUGUGGGAGAAGAUUACCAGCAAGACAUGUAUUUGCCAAAAGACUUGUUUCAGAGCACACUCAGAGCAUAGCUCAGUGGUAGGGACUUCCCAGCAUGUUCAAGGCCCUGGAUCCAAUGCCCACCUGUGCAAAAAAGGACUCCUUAGAGCAAUAAGAAAAGAAGAGACAACUGAUGUUAAGAAAUAGGUAAAGGACUUGAACAGCACAUCACAAAAAAGAACAGUAUGAAAAGCACUGUAUGAAAAGGUGCUCAGAUUCAUUAAUCAGGGGUAUGCAAUUUUAUUUUAUGUAUUUUUUUGUUUCUCUUUGCUUGGUUUGUUUUUGGGGGAAGGGCAAUUUUAAAAACACGAUGAGGGCCAGGGAUUCAGCUUAGUGGUUCUGCCGCCUGCCUUGCAAGCGCAAGGACCCAAAUUCAAUCCCCGGUACCAAAAAAAAAAAACCAAAACCCAAAAAAACCCACAAUUCGAUCCUUGUAUGGAGCCAUCAAAAUGUCUAAAACAAAAAGCAAAGAUAACAUAAGGGAAAUUCUCAUAAAUCGCCAGUGUGUGUACUUGUUUGGUAGUGUGGUGGCCGUGGUGGUAGUAGAGAAGAUGAGAUCUCUCUUCAAGCAAGCCUGCUGCAAGGGGGCUACUUGGUCAGUAGCCUCCAGCUGCCGCACCUUUGGUCCACCAGUAUUCAUGUGAGAUCACACUGUCCCAGGUCUUGUGCCCAGCCAAAUACUGCUCACCGCAAGAGCCCUAGAUCAGGUCAUUCUUGCCUUUCAAACAGCUCCAGUACUGGUCAGCCUGGACGAGAUUGAGGAACCUUCCCAGUUGCACUGUGGCCUGGACGCUCUCCUUGCUCACUCUUGUGCCCUUUGGUAACAGUGGCCAGCCCUUUGGGAGUUGUCCUUUGACGUCCCCUCCCUUUGGCCAGCAUUCCAAACUCAAAAGGGGUGGAGAUGUAGCUCAGUGAUCAAAUGCUUCUUAGCACACUCAAUCUCUGGUUUUCAUCCCCAGCACUGAAAAAAAAAAAAAAAAAAAGAAAAGAAAAAUCUAAUUUGUUUUUUCCCUUGGGGUACCAGGGAUUGAACUCAGGUCCUUGUGUUUGCAAGGUGGGUGUGGCACCACUGAGCUAAAUCCCCAGCCCCAAGCAUAUGAAUUUCUGUGAGAUUUAACUUGCACAAAAGUAGUAUGUUUGUUUAAAGAAAACAUAGGAACUACUGGAGGCACUACUGGAGGUCAACGUGGACUCCAACUUUCUGGCCCAGGGCCUGGUGGGCCUUGCCCAACAGUGUUCAACUAUAUCUCUUUUUCCCUCCCUAUUAAAGCUCUUUUGCAUAUCUUAA